AAUAUUCUUUUUAUUGUACCUUUUUAUAGACACCUUUUAAACCUCUAAAUAUAUUUUAAAAAGCUACCCUGCACUACAUAGUUAACGUUUUUCUGUUCUCCCUGCAGCUCCUGUAUCAACCAACCAUCACCUGAUGUUCACUUCAUUUAUAACCCAAAGGCACUUUUAAGAGCCAACCUCUAUUUUUCUCUCCGUCUAUCUCUCAAUCAAACCAUCCGUCUCAUUAUCUAUCCCUGUAUAUAUCUGUAUCUAGCUCUCAGUCUUUCUUUCUAUCCAUCUCAAAAUCUGUCUAUUUGUGUAUCUGUUGUUACCGGUCUGUCCGGCCUUGUAUUUGUCUCUCUGUCUGUGCAACGUCUGUCCGUGUUGCCAUGGCCACCAAACACACCCCUGACCCCCAGGAUCCCCACUUCCAAGAGGGGAGACGCAUUGGCCCUUGAUAUGAAACUUGACCAGACUCUAGCUGAAGCCAAGAGAGCAGCUGAGGGGAGGAAAAGAGCGCGUUCUGGAGGAGACCCUCCACAGAUCUCUAAGAGGGACUGUGUAGUACGAGGCAAGCCGAGAGGGAGGUGUGGAGGGCGACGCCAAGCCUCCGCUACAGAAACAAGUGCAUGACCAAGCCAUGUUAAUAAUGCCACUAAGAGAGGAAGUGAGCAUUUCGGUGUUGGAGACGGCACAACACGGCACAUGGUGGAAGAACUUGGUUGUGGUUCUCAAAAACAAAGUGGCUGAGGAGGACAAGGGAAACAAAGGGCUUUGCUGUCUCUCAAGAAGAGCACUUUCAGAGGUGUCAGAGAGGUUGCAAAUGCUCCUCCAACACUACAAGACUGCUUUAGGUCCUGAGGCCUCUAUCCUUGGACCUUUGGAAGAGGAAGAUCAAAGUGGCCUCAGCAGUCCAGACUCCAGUGAGGAAGAAGAGGGAAACAACUGAGCUCAUUUAUUUGUUUGUUUAUUUACCUAUUUAUUGGCAAACCUAGACCUGUUACUGUAACUCUUAAAGCAUUAUUUAUUGAUGUAUUUAUGAAUGCUUUACACACCUUCAGCUUCUGACCUUACCUCCUGCUUUUUUGUUUUUCUCUAUUUUUCCAGAUUGAGGCUGAACAAAGGAUCGUUAUGAAGGAAAUGGACUUGUCACUUUUGUGAAGCUCAUGACGUUCCUUUCAGCGCCACCCUCAGACGACAAUGUUAAAAUGGAUAUUUCGAGGUCCUUUGGGCAGGUUGCCAAUUAAUUGUUUGAGCCCUUAUAGGAUGUUGUGUUACUUUAUAUCACUGCACUUAUUAACACAUCAAGACUAUAACUGCUUUACUGGAAUUGUGCAUUUUUGUUUCUUUGCUUUAAUUGCUUUGUCAGUGUUAUAUUUGUCAUUUGGACUUAAUAUAGUUAAUUAGAUACAAAACCAUUUUGAUUGAUACGAAGGGCGUGAUUGUUUAAAAAUAGUAUGUGUUCACGAUUACCACCUCAGUACUACAUCACCAUUUAAGAUACACAAUUGUCCAGGAUGUAGAAGUAAAAGGA